rfam:Nematostella vectensis strain CH2 x CH6 NEMVEscaffold_231_Cont19842, whole genome shotgun sequence.
GCCCGGUUAGCUCAGAUGGUAGAGCAUCAGACUUUUAAUCUGAGGGUCAUAGGUUCAAGCCCAAUAUCGGGCG